AUUUUUUCUAGAUGUUGCUGACAAGUUGGGUUGUUUUCAUUAGAAAGCAGAUGGUUCACCAUUCGGAUUUCAGAACUUCAUGCAUAAGGAAACUGAACAGAAUGAAAAUUACUGAUAUCAUUUUUGCAGUGAAAAAAGUAUGAACCCUGCUCAUUUAAAUAUGUGAGCAUUUUGCCUGCAUGAAAUAAUCUACUGACGUGAGUGUGUUCAUGCAUAUAUUUUUAGUCUUCACUAUAGAGGUUAUACAUCCUAAGCCAGAAUGAUCUUCUACUUUUUCAUGUUUCUGAUCACUUUCAGAGAAAAUACUCAACUGGGUAGCUGUCAGAUUAUUGAGUGGCCCAUGGAAGUCAGCAGCUCCUUUGGAAACUUGAUACUUCCCUUGGCAGAGGAGACACAUGACUGUGAUGCUCCGCAGAUCGCUGUCUGACUUGACUGGGGUCAUUGCAGCUAGGAACAAAUUAGAGCAACCGGUGGUCUUCCAGUCCAAGAGUGGAGGAAGGUGUGAAGUGGUAAUCAUGCUCCCCAGGCUUCUCAGUUGGCCCCUAUGAUCAUGAAGCUACUUGCUCUGGUGGAAGAAUAUCUUUGUGCCUGCCCUUUUGUGCUUCAGCUGUGCAUCAUUUCAGCUACAGUCAUCUAGUCAGCCAGGUGAUGUGGCCUCCGAUCGCAAGUCCAUUUCCAAGCGUCUCCUCCUGUAGUUAAGCCUGGAAAAGGCCUAUAGCUUUGUUCAGUCAGUAAGUCGUUACAUACACAAUAGACUUUCCGACUGUGUCUAGACUGGCAAGUUUUUCCGCAAAAUCAUCUGCUUUUGCGGAAAAACUUGCCAGCUGUCUACACUGGCCACUUGAA